CAGGACCAUCCCAACGCCCGCCAUGGAGGUCUUGAACACUAACGCUGCUUCUUCAGCUGUCUUCCUUUCAAGCAACCGGAACAAUUACAACCAAUGCGCAGGGUGAGCUUUAGCACCACUGGAGCGAAGAGAUGAGGAGCUGUUCGACUGGCGUGGGGCAGCGAAAAGAUCGCAUCUCAACAUUGCUGCUCAACCAGAUGGAAGCCAUCCCACUUAACGGCAGGACAAGAGAAUCAUUUGACAAUAUAAUAUAUUUAAUUGUAUCAUGUCAUUCAUCUGACUUCUUGACUUCUUGGUCUUGGAUCGUAGUAUAGAGCAUGGAUUUUGUUGUCUUGGAUCGUAGUAUAGAUCAUGGUAUAUGGCUCUUUGGAUUGUAGUAUAGAAUGGUGUUUGUUGUAUUGGUUCUCGUGUAUUAGUUUUUACAUUUUGGUUGGAUUUUGCAGGGUUUUUUGCUUAUAUUUUGUGUUGGGUGUAGAAAAAAAAAUCUAAUCUCUUCCUUAUUUUCUUGACAUCAAAACCAUCUGCGUACUCUUGCAUCAUACAUCAUUUCAUAGAGAGCAAAACUGUAAAAUUUAUUACUGUUCAGAAUGUUAAGCAUUUUUCCAAUCCAUUCAGUACUUCCUAUUCAUUUUAAAUAUGUAGUGAAAUCAUCCUAUUGUCUCUUAUGGAUUCAGUCCCUCACUGUUGUCAACCUAUGGACCUUUCAGGUAUUUAGUAUUAAGAAUUUUUUACAAUGACCUUUUCAAAUUAGUCUGUCUUCAAAAUUGAGGGCUGUGUUUUGCCGAUAAAAUGUGAAGGAAGUUUAUAAUAUAUUUCCAUGGAAUUUUGAAGAGUUCAAAUUUAUUUAAUGGCAUAAAAGUUCAGACUAUCCUAAAUCUUCUAUGUAAACCCCCAUCAGGGUGUCGAGCACAUUUACCAGAGUUGAGCAUAUGCACCUUGAAUGAACUCGAUACUACCAUUUUCUGGACAUCUAUAUCAACGUUACUGUGCUCACUUGUAUCAUACAUCAUUAAGACCAAAGAGAAAAACUGUAGAUGGUAUUCGAGUUACUACGUAUUUUUUACUGAUAACCCAUAGUUCUAAAUGUACUUAUUCCUUAUUUUUACUAAAACUGACUUCAUCUAUUGUGCUACAUACAAAAGAUCGAAAUAAAUAAUCUAAUCUAAUCUAAUCUAAUCUAAUCUAAUCAUAUGCUUGUAAAUUGUUUCAUUGGUAUUGGCUGUUCAGCAAUUCUCAAAUGAAUUGAUUACUUCCUAUUUAGCAAUCUGUGCAAAUUGUUCGACCAUUUAUUAAGUUUCAUAUUACUCUAGUUCAUGUUCUGAAACUGAAAUUAACCAUACUGUUAAAGUACUGUCUCGUGUGGAAUUGUGUGCUCCUCGUUAACAUGUCAGCUAAUUUUUGAUAUUUUGCAUUUGAGGCAAGGAACUCAACAAACUAGUUGGUACUGAAAUGUAUGUAUCCUAUUAUUGUGUCUUGGAAAUAUAAUUUAUUGGAAAUGC